rnacentral:ncRNA from 2 species
UCUUUGGUUAUCAAGCUGUAUGA